rnacentral:rRNA from 1 species
GACGAACGCUGGCGGCGUGCUUAACACAUGCAAGUCGAACGAUGAACCAGGGCUUGCCCUGGGGAUUAGUGGCGAACGGGUGAGUAACACGUGGGCAACCUGCCCCAGACACCGGGAUAACCUCUCGAAAGAGUGGCUAAUACCGGAUACGACCACUUUGGGCAUCCAACGGUGGUGGAAAGGAUUCUGGUCUGGGAUGGGCCCGCGGCCUAUCAGCUUGUUGGUGGGGUAAUGGCCUACCAAGGCGACGACGGGUAGCCGGCCUGAGAGGGUGUCCGGCCACACUGGAACUGAGACACGGUCCAGACUCCUACGGGAGGCAGCAGUGGGGAAUUUUUCGCAAUGGAGGCAACUCUGACGAAGCAACGCCGCGUGGAGGAUGAAGGCCCUCGUGGUCGUAAACUCCUGUCUAGCGGGACGAAGCUUCUGCCGGUAAAUAAUCGGCGGAAUUGACUGUACCGCUGGAGGAAGCUCCGGCCAACUCCGUGCCAGCCGCCGCCGUAAAAC